UGCCAUAAUUUAGUUGACAUGUUUUAUUUUGUAUUAUGCACAUUUUUUGUUAUUGCGACUCUUAUUUUGAAAGGUUAAAGUAGGAAGUCCAUUCCAGCAUAUUGCUAGGGAACCAGAAAAGGAAGAUGCAUGCGAUAGGAAAGCAUAGCUUUAGCAAGUGACUGUAAAAGGGUCAUUUAAGUUAAAGAAUUUAUGUAAUAACCUCAUUUCUACCUCGAAAGGAAGGGUCAGCCAGCGAGGUAUGUUUAUAUGUAAUUAUAUCAUUUUAUGUUAUCGUACUCAUGACACCGUCUCACUUAAGUUUAUGUUGUAUUUUAGUUCGACGGUGGUGUUGGUGUCAGUGGGUCAAGUGAAAUUGUAACAAGAGCAACUUUAAAGAACGACAUUAAAGCUGACUUCACACCAGCAGUACAACGAACUCUUUAUUGCCGUUAAGAAGAAGAGGUGGAAGUGAUAGUCGAACUCGGAGCUGCAUGAUUCUCGCAUCGUUGUCCCGAAGACCGGACGGUUGCAAAUGUUAACGGACACACGUUCAACGGCUACUUCUUCAUAAAGACGUCCAGAAACCAGACAUUUAAGUUCAUGUUUGGAAAGUGACACAAGGAGGGAGUAACAACAAGGAACUGUGUGAAGCCUGACAACAGCGCAACAAGGUAACGAGAAGGGAAGUAAUGCAACGAAGCUCAGAGUUAAUUUAAAUCAAGUUGAAAAGAGAUUUUCACCAAUUAAGAAGUCCAUAACAUUUCAAGUAAAACAAAAUGUCAGAAACAAAUGAUACAGAAAUAGAAGUUGCCAGUGCAGAACAAGCUGCCGAAGCAGAGCAAGUAGAUGAAACCUCUUUAGUACAACCUGGGCAAGAAGAGCUGCGAAGAAGUGAAAGACCUCGCAUGCUAACAGGAAAAGGAAAAGAAUUUCAUAAAGAAAAACUAAAAGAGCUGCAACGUCACUUUGAAAGUACUUAUGACAGAUGGAAAGCAUUAAUUAAAGUUGCUAAAAAAUCUGUUAUCAAAGGAGAUCCAGUUGACAUUCUUGAAGGUCACAUGGACAUUGUACAAAGAGAGCUAGCCGCUCUUAAUGAUAUUUAUGAUCAAUACAGAGCAAUAGAUGGACCACCUCAUGAUAUGCGUUCCAAGUUAGACAAAUGUAUAUCAGUGACUAAGGUAGUUAUGCAAAACAUCCAAUGCCAUGUUGAGGGAACAAAUAAGGAGGAGAUUGUUUGGCCUGAUGCUAGUUCUGUAUUUACAUCUUCUAGCUCAGCUAGUGUCUCAGUUCAUAGUCAUUUUAAAGCCAGUACAGUUAUCUCUAAUGGCUCCUCUGCCAAAAGACAAGAAGCUGCAGCAGAGUAUGAAGCAACAAAGGCUGUGCUUAAGAUAAUGGCUGAACAAGAGAAAUUUAGAGAAAAAAUGCAAACCAUAGAAGAAGAAGACAAAUGCAUAACCGCAGAACAAGAAGCUGCUGCGAUGUUACAACGCCAUCAAGAGGAAAGAGAGGAAACAGAACGCAAGUUAAAAAGAGAAAAGGAGAAGGCAGCUGUGAUAAAGAGACAACAAGAGGAAAGUGCUGCAAGGAAAAGGUCAGUUGAGGACUUAAAAAGGGAAAUUGAAAGACUGGAAAACCUGAAAGGACUUAAUGCAGCAAGGGCAAAAUUACAAGUUUAUGAAGAAGACUACUUUUCAGUAAAGCAAGAAAGCAUCACUCCGAAUCCUGCAAACAUACAGGUAACAGAGUUCAAGAACACUGUUAAUCAACCCACACAACCACCACAACAGUUAAAUGUCGUUCACGAGAGCACAGGUGAGCUUGUAAGGGUUUUGGCAGAAGCUAUGUCAGCUAAUAGGCUACCGAUUCCAGAGCCCUCAGUAUUUAAUGGGGAUCCACUUAAGUUUAAACAUUGGAAAGCAUCUUUUCAGACUCUAAUAGAGAGAAAGAACAUUCCCAUUGCAGAAAAAAUAUUUUUCUUGCAGAAGUAUGUAGGUGGGUGUGUUAAAGAAGCCUUAGAUGGCUAUUUUCUGAUUGGCUCUGAAGAUUCCUAUAUGGCAGCAUGGAAUAUUCUCAAUGAACGUUAUGGAGAGCCUUUUGUCAUUGCUAAGGCCUUUAGAGACAAGUUGCACACAUGGCCAAAGCUCCAAGGUAAAGACAGUGCAGAGUUAAGAAAGUUUGUGGAUUUCUUACAAAGCUGUCAAUCCGCAAUGACUACCAAUGAGAAUCUGAACAUCCUCAAUGAUGGAAUAGAGAAUCAAAGACUUGCUGCUAAACUGCCAGACUGGUUAAGCAACAGAUGGAACCGAAAGGCUACAGAGUACCAGCUGGAGCACAGACAGUUCCCACGUUUCAGUUACUUUGUAACAUUCCUGUCAAUGGAGGCAAGUAUUGCAUGUAAUCCCAUUACAUCAUAUCAAGCAAUAAGACAAAGUGACUUUGACAAACCAAGGACAAAACUUCAAAUUACACCCAUUCAUAAGAAACAAGAUACAACGAAAAUCUUCACAACUAAUUCUACAGAAAGAAGCAUGAGUUCUUGUGUGUUUUGUAAAAGAACAGGACACAGCUUACACAAAUGUCGUAAGUUCACUGAGAAACCAGUUACUGAGAGAGUCAAGUUCAUUCAAGGUGAAAAACUAUGUUUUGGCUGUUUAAAUAGUGGUCAUUUCUCCAAGAACUGCAGCGAUCGGAUGACAUGCAACACAUGCUCAAAACAACAUCCCACAUGUCUGCAUGAAGAAAGACAAAGACACGAGAUAAAGAAAGAACAACCUAAAGAACAAGAAGUAGCUGAACGGAAGGAAACCCAGCAACAGGUAACACAGUCACAAGACACAGCUAACGAAAGUACAUCCAACAGAGUGACUCAUGAAAAUAGAAACACACAGACAUCUGCAAUAGUACCUGUCUAUGUAUCCACACAAAAUGAACCAAGCAAAGAAAUACUUACGUACGCUCUGCUGGACACACAGAGUGAUUCGUCCUUUAUUCUCAAUGAAGUAGCAAACAAUCUGAACACAGCUAAAACCCAAGUUAAACUCAAAUUAUCGACGAUGUCAUCCAAGAAAACAACUGUACCAUGUACAAAACUUGAAGCUCUGCAAAUAAGAGGAUUGUUUUCCAAAAAGAAACUCACUGUGCCAGUUGCUUACACACGUGAUUUUAUACCUGCCAAUCGUAGCCAUAUUCCUACUCCAGAUACGGCAAGGUCAUGGCCACAUUUGGAGCAUCUAACUGAACAUAUUGCUCCACCAUUAGACUGUGAUAUAGGACUUCUGUUAGGCUACAACUGCACACAAGCCUUAAUGCCCAGAGAAGUCAUAUGUGGUGAAGAAAACCAGCCUUAUGCCCAGAAAACAGAUUUGGGCUGGAGCAUCAUAAGUUACUGUGAUUCGUGUGAUGCAAGCAGUGAUGUAAUUGGAGUAAGUCAUCGCAUCACUGUAAAGCAAGUAAUACCAGAGACUGAGCCAACCACAAAGCUGAAGAAUAAAGUUCAUUACAUCUGCAAGACACAAAUAAAAGAAGUAACUGGUCCAGAUGUAAUCAAAGCACUUGAAUCAGAUUUUACAGAGAGAGCAGUGGAAGAAACAAGCAUUUCACAAGAAGAUGUCUGCUUCAUAAGAAAGCUGCAAGAAGGAAUCAAACAAAAGCAGGAUGGACACUAUGAAAUGCCCCUGCCUUUCAAAAAUGACAGACCAAAUCUUCCCAACAACAUGUCAAGUGCAAUGCAACGCUUAAACAGUCUCAAACGCAGAUUCGUAAGGGAUCCAAAGUACUACUCUGAUUAUGCAAAGUUCAUGGAGGACAUUAUUGCACGCGGUGAUGCAGAGAAAGUAACGGAGAAGGAACUCUGUAAUUCCCCUGCCUGGUAUAUUCCCCACCAUGGGGUAUACCACCCUCAAAAGCCUGGCAAGAUCCGUGUAGUUUUUGACUGCUCUGCACAAUAUCGAGAUACUUCGCUAAAUGAACACCUGCUUACAGGGCCUGACCUCACAAACACUUUGGUGGGAGUACUCUGUAGGUUCAGGAAGGGCUCAGUGGCUGUAAUGUGCGACGUGGAGCGUAUGUUUCACCAGUUCCAUGUAACACCCCAAGACCAGGAUUAUUUACGCUUCCUAUGGUGGGAGCAUGGUGAUCUAAGUGUUCCCCUCUCAGUCUUUCGCAUGAAGGUUCACCUGUUUGGUGCAGCUUCUUCACCUGGUUGUGCCAAUUUUGGUUUAAAACAUCUAGCUACACAAGGUGAGGGAAGGUUCUCUCCAAACACAGUGAAGUUCAUUCAAAGAAACUUUUAUGUAGAUGAUGGACUUGUAAGUGUUACAUCUGAAGCAGAAGCAAUCAAACUAGUCAAAGAAGCAAGAGAGCUGUGUAGCACAGGUCAACUAAGAUUACACAAGUUUGUAUCAAACAGUGACAAUGUGUUAAAGUCACUGCCCAGAGAAGAGUGUGCUGACAGUAUAAAGGAUUUGGAUCUAGCACUUGGAGAACCACUGAUGGAAAGAGCACUUGGUGUUCAGUGGUGCAUUUCUUCCGAUGAGUUUCAAUUCAGAAUAACAGUCAAAGAGCACCCAAUGACAAGAAGAGGGAUCCUGUGCACAGUAGCAUCAGUGUAUGAUCCACUGGGAUUUGUGGCACCCUUCAUCCUAAAAGGAAAACAAAUCCUGCAACAGUUAUGUCAAGAGAAAGUCGGAUGGGACGAGCCUCUUUCGGAUCAGCUCUACAGAGAGUGGGAAUCCUGGCUCCUGGAUCUUCAAAACUUGUCAAAGGUGAGAAUCCAAAGAUGCAUGCUACCUGAAAACACAGACAUCACACAGUGUGAUUUACAUCAUUUUUCAGAUGCUAGUGUGACAGGCUAUGGACAAUGUAGCUAUUUAAGAACAGUCACAUCCAAAGGGGAUGUUCAUUGCGCACUAGUCAUGGGGAAGGCACGCGUUGCCCCAACCAAAGUCACUACUGUCCCUAGACUUGAGUUAACAGCUGCAGUAGUCGCAGCAAGAACAAGUGUAAUGCUAAAAGGUGAACUGGAGAUCAGCAAUCUUCAAGAACAUUUCUGGACAGACUCCAAAGUGGUGUUAGGAUAUGUGAAUAAUGAUGCCAAAAGAUUUCAUGUAUUUGUGGCAAAUAGGAUUCAAAGGAUAAAGUCACUCACAAACCCACAUCAGUGGCAUCAUGUACCAUCUGAGAAUAAUCCUGCAGACCACGCGUCAAGAGGACUAAGUGUUCAACAGCUACUCACUUCUAACUGGUUUAAAGGACCAGAGUUUUUGUGGCAAAGUGAGCUACCCAUUGAAACUGACAAGGCUAUUGAAGUUAUUCCUAAUGACCCAGAGCUGAAAACAGUACAUGUGCUCAAAACGGAAGUACAAGAAAGGAGAACAAUACUUGAUCGUCUCAAUAAAUUUUCAGACUGGAGAAGAGCUGUUAAAGCUAUUGCUCGUCUAAAGAAAUUUGUGAGAGAUUUUAAAGGAGACACACAACCAAAGGGUGGAAACACAUGUAUUGAAGACAGGCGAGAAGCAGAACUGUUCAUAAUAAAACUUGCACAAGAAAACACCUUCAGCAAGGAAAUCAAGGACUUAACCCAAGGAAAGGACAUUCAACUCAAGGAUAAGACACACAGGCUGUAUAGCUUAAACCCAUUUGUUGAUGAGCAAGGAGUACUCAGGGUGGGAGGACGUUUAACAAGAGCAAGUCUGCACCCUUACAUCAAACAUCCUGCCAUUAUCCCCAAAUCAAGUCAUGUGUCGUCUUUGCUGAUUAAACACUUCCAUGAAAAGGUGCAGCAUCAAGGAAGAGGAAUUACUGUCAACGAGCUGCGUUCCAAUGGACUGUGGAUCACAGGAUGCAGCAGUGCAGUUGCUUCACACAUCUACAAGUGCACAACUUGCAGAAAGUACAGGAGACAUACCCAAGAUCAACAGAUGUCAGAUCUACCAGAGGACAGAAUGGAAACAACACCCCCAUUCUCUUACUGUGGUAUUGACUGUUUUGGACCUUUUUAUGUAAAAGAAGGCAGAAAGGAACUUAAAAAGUAUGGACUUUUGUUUACAUGUAUGUGUUCCAGGGCAAUACAUGUUGAAAUGUUAGACGACCUUACUACUGAUGCUUUUAUUAAUGCAUUGCGUUGUUUGAUUUCUAUUCGUGGACAUAUAAGACAAAUAAGGUGUGACCAAGGGACUAAUUUUAUUGGUGCUAAGGGAGAGUUUUUGAAUGCACUGAAGGACUGUGACAAAGAGCAGUUGAAACAAUAUGGAUGUGAGUUUGUUCUGAACACUCCAUCCUCAAGCCACAUGGGAGGUGUUUGGGAGAGGCAGAUUAGGACCAUUAGAAGCGUUUUAACUGCUAUUCUGGAUAAAACUUCUAAGAGACUUGAUAGUUCUUCCCUCAGAACGUUUCUGUAUGAGGUGAUGGCUAUUGUGAAUAGCAGGCCGUUAACAGUAGAAAACCUGAGUGAUUCAAGUUUAGAGCCUCUUACACCGAAUCAUAUUCUCAUGAUGAAGUCCAGUGUUAUUCUACCUCCUCCUGGUGAAUUUGUGAGUCAGGACUUGUACCUGAGAAAGAGAUGGCGCCAAGUUCAGUUUUUAGCCAAUGAAUUCUGGACAAGGUGGAAGAAGGAAUAUCUUCUUACUCUUCAACAGAGACAAAUCUGGCAAAGAAACAAAAGGAAUGCAAAGCUGAACGACAUUGUUAUUCUUCAAGAGGACAGUUCUCCAAGGAACAAGUGGAAACUGGCAAGAGUAACAGAGGUAUAUCCAAGCACAGAUGGAAGGAUCAGGAAGGUGAAGCUGUUGCUCAGUGACUCGACCUUGGACAAGGAUGGCAAAAGGACUGUCAAGCCAGUGUAUCUUGAUAGACCAGUUCACAAAACUGUGUUGUUACUGGAAGCAGAGUGAAUGCUAAAAUGUACAUAUAUUCCUAUUGUUAUGUUAUAUGUUUCAAGUGAAAUCACCAUAGGUUAGUGAUUUGGUGGGAGUUUUACUGCCAUAAUUUAGUUGACAUGUUUUAUUUUGUAUUAUGCACAUUUUUUGUUAUUGCGACUCUUAUUUUGAAAGGUUAAAGUAGGAAGUCCAUUCCAGCAUAUUGCUAGGGAACCAGAAAAGGAAGAUGCAUGCGAUAGGAAAGCAUAGCUUUAGCAAGUGACUGUAAAAGGGUCAUUUAAGUUAAAGAAUUUAUGUAAUAACCUCAUUUCUACCUCGAAAGGAAGGGUCAGCCAGCGAGUUCGACGGUGGUGUUGGUGUCAGUGGGUCAAGUGAAAUUGUAACAAGAGCAACUUUAAAGAACGACAUUAAAGCUGACUUCACACCAGCAGUACAACGAACUCUUUAUUGCCGUUAAGAAGAAGAGGUGGAAGUGAUAGGUAUAAUGUUGCUGUUUCUGCUGCUGACGGUCCUGGAGGUCUGAGUUUAUCUGAGACUGUAGCUGUUAAGGUUAAACAUGCUUCUCUGUAGAUCAGUGUUUCCCAACCCUGGUCCUCAAGGCACACUGUCCUACAUGUUUUAGAGUUUUCCCUGCUUUAAUGUGCCCGAUUCAACUGAUUGCAGUUCAACAAAUGCCUGUUAAUUAGUCAUCAAUUAAAAUCAGCUGAACUGAAGCAAGGAAAUACCUAAAACAUGCAGGGCAGUGAGCCUGGAGGACCAGGGUUGGGAAACACUGCUGUAGGGUUUACCGUGCUUCAUCGUGGGUUCAUUGUGCUUCUCUGUUGGGGCAAAACAUUGAGGGACACGUAGCUGAAAGGUACGGAGCCCUCCAGGGGACAUGGGAAAUUUUCUUAUUUUGCGUUCCCUCGCAAUACUGUACUGAUCAGUUCAUGCGGCAUAAUUGAAUACUGUAAGCCUUUCUUACGGUGGGCGCCGUACUU